GAGCUCCCAGCAUGUUCCUACAGCCCCCCCAAACCCUACAGAGACCCCUAAAGUUCCUUCCCAGGGUCCCCCCAGCACCCCCAAGCUGAGGAAAGGGAUCCCCAUGGCCCCUGCAGGAUCUGGGGAGGGUCCCCAGCCCUGGGGGCUCCCCAAGUUCCCAUAAAAGGAUCUCCCAGAAGGUCCCACAGAGUCCCAUGGAUGAUCCCACAGAUCCUGUGGAUGAUCCCACAGGAACUCAGAGUGCCAUGGAAAACCCCACAGAUCCCAGAGAUGAUCCCACAGACCCCAUGGACGAUCCCAUGGAUGAUCCCACAGAUCCCAGAGAUGAUCCCACAGACCCCAUGGAUGAUCCCACAGACCCCACGGAUGAUUCCACAGAUCCCAGAGAUGAUCCCACAGACCCUAUGGAUGAUCCCACGAACAAACAGGGGCACCCAGAUCCCAUGGAUGAUCUCAUAGACCCCAUGAAUGAUCCCACAGAUGAUCCCAUGGAUGAUCCCACAGAUCCCAGAGAUGAUCCCAUAGACCCCAUGGAUGAUCCCACAGAUCCCAAGAACAAACAGGGGCACCCAGAUCCCACGGAUGAUCCCACAGAUGAUCACAUGGAUGAUCCCACAGAUGAUCCCAUGGAUGAUCCCACAGAUCCCAGAGAUGAUCCCACACAUCCUAUGGAUGAUCCCACGGAUCCCAGAGAUGAUCCCACACAUCCUAUGGAUGAUCCCACAGACCCCAUGGAUGAUCCCACAGACCCCAUGGAUGAUCCCACAGACCCCACGGAUGAUCCCACAGAUCCCAAGAACAAACAGGGGCACCCAGAUCCCACGGAUGAUCCCACAGAUGAUCACAUGGAUGAUCCCACACACCCUAUGGAUGAUGCCACAGAUCCCAGAGAUGAUCCCACAGACCCCACAGACGAUCCCAUGGAUGAUCCCACAGAUCCCAAGAACAAGUAGGGGCACCCACAUCCCAUGGAUGAUCCCACAGCAGCCCAGAGUGCCAUGGAAAACCCCACAGACCCCACGGAUGAUCCCACAGACCCCAGGAACCCCCAGGAACCCAGAGGUGCCCCCAGACCUCACCUUGGCGUAGCAGCGCUCCAUGUGCCUCAGGGCCACCUUGGGGUUGAUGGGGUGGCCACAGGACACGCAGAAGAUCUGCAGGUCCGUGUCCUCGCUGUCCCCCUCCGUGCUCUGGGGGGACAGCGGGGUCAGGGGCUCCAAGGGGGGCACCCAGGGAUUGGGGGGACACCAGGUUAGGGGGCUCAGGGGGAACCAGAUGCUCCAGGGAUGAGUUUGGGGGCACCCUGGUGUCCAUGAAGGACCAAAGGGGAUCACAAGAAGGACCCAGAACAAAGGGAGAAUUAAAAGAUUUUGGGUGCACCCAGGAAUCCAUGAAGGACCAAGGGAGAUCUCAGGAGAGAUCCAGAA
rnacentral:lncRNA from 1 species